UACGGAGGGUGCAAGCGUUAAUCGGAAUUACUGGGCGUAAAGCGUGCGCAGGCGGUUUUGUAAGCCAGAUGUGAAAUCCCCGGGCUUAACCUGGGAAUGGCAUUUGGGACUGCAAGGCUGGAGUGCGGCAGAGGAGACUGGAAUUCCUGGUGUAGCAGUGAAAUGCGUAGAUAUCAGGAGGAAUACCGAUGGCGAAGGCAGGUCUCUGGGCUGACACUGACGCUCAUGCACGAAAGCGUGGGGAGCAAACAGG
rnacentral:rRNA from 1 species